GGGGGGGGGGGGGGGGGGGGGGGGGGGGGGCGGGGCGGGCGGGGGGGCGGGGGGGGUGCUGCUCGGACGUGGGCGGCGGAGGGGUGGGGCGCGCGUGGCGGACCUACCUGUGGGACUGGGAUAACGUCGGGAAACCGGAGCUAAUCACGGAUAAGAUCUUGCGCCGCCUGGUGCAGUAGUGAAAGAGGGUGUUGCUGUACCGUAUAGCUUGAUCCCCGCCCCAUAGGCUCGUUGUGGAGGUCACGGCUUACCCAGGCAACGAUGCGUAGCCGACCUGGGAGUGUGAUCGGCCACACUGGAACUGAGACACGGUCCAGACUCCUACGGGAGGCAGAAGUAGGGACUCUUCCGCAAUGGGCGAAAGCCUGACGGAGCAACGCCGCGUGAGUGAUGAAGGUCUUCGGAUCGUAAAACUCUGUUAUUAGGGAAGAACAAAUGUGUAAGUAACUAUGCACGUCUUGACGGUACCUAAUCAGAAAGCCACGGCUAACUACGUG
rnacentral:rRNA from 1 species